rnacentral:lncRNA from 1 species
AGCAACCCCUCCCACCAUAUCAUCUUUUUACUUUUUAGAAAGUGGCUUUCUCACUCUUCAUCUGCGUUCUUGCCAUUCUCCUUCCCAUAUUGCCCAUGUCUUUGUAAAUGAAUAUGCUCCAUUUCUCUGUAAAUGAGGUACUAACCAUUCUCUUUGCAGUGAAUUGAGUAGAUGAGAACAAAAUUUGGUAUCAUUAACAAUAGUGAUGCAUUUUGGAAAAUCAAAAUGUGGUUUUUGAAUUAGUGUUGAAAGCCAAAUCAUAGAAGAUGUGGAAGAUGCUUUCACAACGAAUAAUGGAUUUGCUAUGCGAUAGGUUCUCUCUCUACAAGCCCAUGAUUUAAUGGCUACAGGGCUCUUCUUGCCUAUUUUCUGUUUUCAGGAUCUCUCUCUCAUUGCCCUGGGGUUUAAAAGGUAGUUUCUCUCUCAUAUAAUUUUUGAGGAUUUUAUUUCGAAUUAUUUGUUCUGUAAACCAAUCUUUGGCUCUAGUUAGCUAUUUUUCUUCUUCUAAUUUUUUUCUAAAGUGUUUUCCUUUUCUUUUUAUAUGUUGGCUAUAGAAACUCUGUGAAAGUUUAGUAAUUUCCUGCUUGGGUUUCUUUCUAAAGCGUUUUUCUUUUCUUCAGAUUACUUUGGCAAUCCCUUAAGGGAAAGAUUUCUACACUUCUUCUAUAAUAUAGAAGAUCUAUGCUUUCCCUACCAUCCAGCCAUCCAAUUUUGAUCAAGAGAGUUACUUACCAUUUGAUCUUAGAUCCGACGUUUUAAAGUAUUUUAUUUUUAGUUUUUUUAAUCAAAUUGCAUGAAUAUGAAAUUUGGUAUGUUCCAUCUUCUCAUAGGGAUGCAUCUAUAAAAAAUAUUAAAAAUAAAUUUUUGAUAAAAUAUAAUGACCAAAAUACCCCUUGAAAUUUUCAGGGGUAUUUUGGUCAUUUUAUUUUAUUGAAAAUAUUUUUUUUAUAUUUUUUGCUAAUGUGAGUUUAUUAGAGGAUUAGACGUCCAAAAUUUGAUGUCAAAAUAUUUUAUAGAAAAAAAAAUUAAAAGGAAAAUAGUAUAAAGACGUGACAUUAUGUUGGGGCAAUCAUAGCUCUCCAUUCAGAAUGGACGGUUGGAUAAGAAGAAGUAUAUAAGUUUUGUGCUGCAGGAGAAGCAUAGAAAGCUUGCCCAUCACUUAAAUAUUGGUAGAAACUGCAGUUUGUGGCAGUAAUGGCUCGCUCAGUUGCAUUCAUUGCACGACUCAAAACUUCAAACCAAUGUAUAAGUGAGAGACUGAGUAGCCUAAGCAUGAUUAGCUAAAGAUGAGUUCAUGAGUUACAAGAAAGAAAGGGUGAGUUGGAUUCUUUUCACCAACCUCAAAGAUGGCUUCAAUGGAGGUUAUCUGUGUAC